UUGCAGUUAAAAAGCUCGUAGUUGGAUUUCUGGUAGGAUGACUGUGCCCUCAGUAGAGUGUGCGCUGGCGUCUUGCCAUCCUUCUGUUAACCUUUGGGAGCUCCACCGCUCCCUUUGGGGCUCAGAUAUUUUACCUUGAGAAAAUUAGAGUGUUUCAGGCAGGCUAGCGCCGGAAUACAUUAGCAUGGAAUAAUGGAAUAGGACUUUUGCCUCUUCUGUUGGUCAUGGGGUUCGAGUAAUGAUUAAUAGGGAUAGUUGGGGGCAUUAGUACUUCACUGUCAGAGGUGAAAUUCUCGGAUUUGUGAAAGACUAACUUAUGCGAAAGCAUUUGCCAAGGAUGUUUUCAUUAAUCAAGAACGAAAGUUAGGGGAUCAAAGACGAUCAGAUACCGUCCUAGUCUUAACCAUANCUAUGCCGACUCGGGAUCGGGGGCA
rnacentral:rRNA from 1 species